rnacentral:rRNA from 1 species
UACGUAGGGGGCUAGCGUUGUCCGGAAUCGUUGGGCGUAAAGAGCGUGUAGGCGGUCCGGUAAGUCCGCUGUGAAAGUCGGGGGCUCAACCCUCGAAUGCCGGUGGAUACUGUCGGGCUAGAGUGCGGAAGAGGCGAGUGGAAUUCCUGGUGUAGCGGUGAAAUGCGCAGAUAUCAGGAGGAACACCAAUUGCGAAGGCAGCUCGCUGGGACGUAACUGACGCUGAGACGCGAAAGCGUGGGGAGCAAACAGG